rnacentral:rRNA from 1 species
CAGCGCCACAAGUGGCGAUCAUGUUUAUUUGGCCUAAAGCGUCCGUAGCUGGUUAAGUAAAUCUCUUGUGAAAUUGUUUAGCUUAACUAAACAGCGUGCAGGAGAGACUGCUUAGCUAGGGACCGGGAGGAGUCAGGGGUAUGCUGGGGGGAGCGGUAAAAUGCAAUAAUCCUCGGUAGACCACCUAUGGCGAAGGCGUCUGACUAGAACGGGUCCGACAGUGAGGGACGAAAGCCAGGGGAGCAAACCGGAUUAGAUACCCGAGUAGUCC